rnacentral:rRNA from 1 species
AAAGAUUAAGCCAUGCAUGUCUAAGUACAUACUUUAUGAUGGUGAAACCGCGAAUGGCUCAUUAAAUCAGUUAUGGUUCCUUAGAUCGUACAAUCCUACUUGGAUAACUGUGGCAAUUCCAGAGCUAAUACAUGCAAAAAGGCACCGACUCACGGAAGUGCGAUUUUAUCAGUUCAAAACCAAUCGGUCGCAAGGCCGUCACUUUGGUGAAUCUGGACUUUGUGCUGAUCGCACGGCCUUAGUGCCGGCGACGUAUCUUUCAAAUUUCUGCCCUAUCAACUUUCCAUGGUACGUGCUAUGCCUACCAUGGUUGCGGGUAACGGGGAAUCAGGGUUCCAUUCCGGAAAGGGAACAUGAGAAACGGCUACCACAUCCAAGGAAGGCAGCAGGCGCGCAAAUUACCCACUCCUGGCACGGGGAAGUAGUGACGAAAAAUAACAAUACGGGACUCUUUCCAGGCCCCGUAAUUGGAAUUAGUACACUUACCCUUCGAGUAUCUAUUGGAAGGCAAGUCUGGUGCCAGCAGCCGCGGUUCCAGCUCCAACGUAUAUUAAAGUUGUUGGAGUUAAAAAGCUCGUUGGAUCUCGGGUCCAGGCUUGGGGUCCACUCCUUGGUGGUUACUGCUCGUCCUGACCUACCUCCCGGUUUUGGCCUUGGUGCUCUUGAUGUGUCUCGGGUGGCCGGAACGUUUACUUUGAAAAAAUUAGAGUGUUCAAAGCAGGCAAUUCCCCUGAAUAAUUGUGCAUGGAAUAAUAUAGGACCUCGGUUCUAUUUUGUUGGUUUUCCGAACUUGAGGUUAAGAGGGACAGACGGGGGCAUUCCUAUUACGGUGUUAGAGGUGAAAUUCUUGGAUCGCCGUAAGACGAACUACUGCGAAAGCAUUUGGCAAGAAUUUUUUCAUUCAAGAACGAAAGUCAGAGGUUCCAAGACGAUCAGAUACCGUCGUAGUUCUGACCAUAAACGAUGCCAACUAGCGAUCCGCCGGAAUGGUUCAAUUACUCGGCGGGCAGCUUACGGGAAACCAAAGUUUUUGGGUUCCGGGGGAAGUAUGGUUGGAAAGCUGAAACUUAAAGGAAUUGACGGAAGGGCACCACCAGGAAUUGAACCUGCGGCUUUUGACUCAACACGGGAAAACUCACCCGGCCCGGACACUGUAAGGAUUGACAGAUUGAGAGCUCUUUCUUUCCGUGGGUGGUGGUGCAUGGCCGUUCUUAGUUGGUGGAACGAUUUGUCUGGUUUCCGACGAACGAGACUCCCUGCUAAAUUCACCGAUCCGCUCUGCGUCGGUGCAACUUCUAGGGACAAGUGGCGUUUAGCCACACGAGAUGCAAUAACAGGUCUGUGCCCUAUGUUCCGGGCCGCACGCGCGCUACACAGGAAUCAACGUGCUCUUAUCCUUGGCCGGAAGGGUUGGGUAACCCGUACCUCCUUCCUGCUAGGGAUUGGGGCUUGUAAUUCUUCCCCAACGAGGAAUUCCCAGGCGCGAGUCAUAAGCUCGCGUUUACGUCCCUGCCCUUUGUACACACCGCCCGUCGCUACUACCGAUAUUGUUGCUCCUCGGAUUGGUCCCGACACGGGGGGAAACCCUCGAGUCGGUGUGCCGAAAAGACGAGCAAACUUGAUCAUUAGGAAGAAGUCGCAA